rnacentral:pre_miRNA from 1 species
AACCCUCGUCGCCCCGGCGAAUGCCGGGGCCGCCGGAUGCGGGGCAGGCGAUUGCCGAUUGCGCAGCGGCCCCGGCCUUCGCCGGGGUGACGACAUAA